GGAGCAGCCAGACAUACCUGAGAAAGCUACCUGAGAAAAGCGCUAUAUUCCAGAAUAUUCUGAAGAAAACGCUUCAUCAUGGCACGACUGACCAUCCUGGCUGGAUUGGCACUUCUGAUGUGUCUUCUGACUGUGACUACUUCCAGCGAUACCCCAAACCAGCCUGGCGUUCGUGCAACCACAGCAUCUCCUGGCAUGAAAACUCCCAAACAAACCAGAUCUCCUGUUUUUGGGCGUAAUUUCUGUGUAGGCAAGCGUGAUGGUAAUUACGUCAAUGAAUAUGAUAGACACACCUUCUAUCAGUGUGUCGCCGGAAUCACGUACAUACAGAGAUGUCCUGCUAAUUUGAUUUACAAUUACGGAUGCGACUGUUGCGUAUAUAAUAGAUGAUUCAGUCAAGCUUUUGCGGAUUUAAAUGCUGGAUGGACAGCAUCAAUGUAAUGUCCUCUCUCGCUCUACAACUGUGUUCUUGCUGAAAAAGUUUAACACCUUUAUUUAAAAACUCAAAAGGAGAUUUGUUUUUUCAUAUCUGCCAAGAUGUUUCAAGUGUACUGAAGUAAUUUGUAAUGUGUGGAGACAUGUAUACCUUUUAAUAAAUUUUCCUGUUUUUGCUUCCUCAAA